rnacentral:rRNA from 1 species
UAGGGAAUCUUCCACAAUGGGCGAAAGCCUGAUGGAGCAACGCCGCGUGUGUGAUGAAGGGGUUUUCGGCUCGUAAAACACUGUUGUAAGAGAAGAAUGACAUUGAGAGUAACUGUUCAAUGUGUGACGGUAUCUUACCAGAAAGGAACGGCUAAAUACGUGCCAG